GACUAUUUUCUUUUGAGGUUUUGUUUUGAAAGCAGAAUUUAGAGCAUUGAGUUGCUUAGUAGUUU
rnacentral:tRNA from 1 species